rnacentral:lncRNA from 1 species
CCGUUUUAUCCCCGUCUCAUCACAACUGUUGGAUUCUUUUGAUCCAACGGUUCGGAACUAGGCGAAAUAUAACUGUCUGAAAGCCCUCCACUCCCCUUGUUUGAACCCUAACCCUAAACUUCGUCCCCCUCAAACAAACCCUAGAGAUGCCACCCCAAAAACGCAUGCCGUCUCCGCCAUCAACUACUCGCCGGAAAUUACCUACGACGGCGGAGACACUCCAAACACCACCAAAUUAACACCACUUAGUCUCAUCUCCCUCCUCUUUUCAAAUAUCCUAACCUUUUUUCCCAAAUUCCCAUCAAAUCCUUAGAAUGUUAAAUCUAAAAUCAGAACUUCCAAAACCCUAAAUCACCUAAAUGACCUCAAACUCAUACCAUGCAAUCCUUCUCUCCUUCUCUUCCCAAAUCUUCCUAUGUUUCCUCUCAAAUCAGCCCCAAUUUUGUUGAAUUCUAAAUUUAGGAUCCCAGAAAAAACCCUAAAUUUUCCUUCCUUCUUUUCUUGGUCAGUAUGUGGUCAAGUGAACCCCAAACAUUUAUUAGUCGAUUGUUCCUUAUCAAGGACAAUCCAUUUAUGUUAGUUAAGGUUCAUUUGAAGAAAUUGGUCGAAUGUUUUGUUGGAUCCAGAGUGAAUAUAGAUAAUUUUCUUUUGAUUUAAUUUUAUUUUUGUUUUCUCUGUUCUUUUCCUCAUCCUUCACUUUGGUGUUCUUAUUUUCCAUCCAGUAUUACCCUUCUGUUUGUUCGUGUCAAUUCGAAAUUCCCCAUGCAUCUCUGUUUCUUUUAGUAGUCAUCAUUGGUUAAGUUUAAUUUUAUUUGAAUCUUUUUGUUAACUAAUUAAGUUCAGAAAUUUAAUUUGGUUUGGCUAGGCUAAUUAAUGGUGUUUUUGUUUGUUUGCUGGAUUGAGUUUAGUUUUCAUAAGCAUUUUCUGUGUUAGCUUGCAUGAAUUAGUUGGGUUAAUUGUAUUUUUUUAUGAUUAGUGUUAAAUAAAUAUUGUUUAUAUUUUUGUUUCAUUUUUAUUCCAAUAUAUUAGCAAAAGAACUUAGGUCUAGUUAAAAGCUUAAUUGAAUCAGAAUUUUGGUCCGUUUGAUUUGCCCCUGUUUUUAAUCCGAGUUUUUGUUUUGUUUGCCUCAGUUUGUAAUUUUUAGGUGUUUAGUUGAAUAAAUAAAAAAAACUUAAGGGGAUUGGGAGGGGUAGGAAACAAGAUUUUUUGAGAUAAGGCUAAUAUAAGAAGUUUUUAGAACCUGGGGCAGCUGUCCCUAUUUGGUUAGCAUAAAAUGUUGGGUUAUUUGUAUUUGUAUAUGAUUAGUGUUAAAUAAAUAUUGUUUAUAUUUUUGUUUCAUUUUUAUUCCAAUAUAUGAGCAAAAGAACUUAGGUCUAGUUAAAAGCUUAAUUGAAAGAUGCCUUUUCAGGCUGAAGGGAAUAUUUCCUUGAUUGGUUAUCAAGCCCAUGGAAUAUUAGGCCUAUAAGUAGUGCCUUUCUUUCACACAAAAGAUCAUACAUUCAUACCCUGAAAAAUACUCAAAGUUUCUGCAUAUUUGGCUGAAAAAUUGGUUGGAAUGGUCUUUUGGUUUUUCUUGUAGUAAGAACUUAAAAGUAUUUUUUUGAAGGAUUUCUUGUCUUCUAAGACGAAAUGAAGCUGAUUUUUAUGUUGUUUGAGUGAAUUUCUUUUGUUUUUCUUUGUUGUUGAAUCUGCUACUGCUUGCUGCUAAUAGCUGAUUUCUAGCAUAUUUUUGAUUUUGUUUUGUUGUAUCCAGGUAUAUUUUUGAAUCCCUGGAAUGGAAGUGGAUAUAGUGAUACUUGUAACAUUAGAGUUGAUAAUUAAAUGUAAAAUAAAGUUUGAUAAUGAAAUGUUUAAGCUUCAGUUUUCGUUUUAAGUCUGAUUUUUUUUUUCAAGUAGCUUAGUAUGUCGCAAUCUUCUUAGUCUGUUGUUUUUUGUUCAAGUAUUUCUUAUUUGCAUGAUAGUCAACAGUUUAUUUUAAUUGGGAAUCUCACGUGUGAGUGUUUAAGUUAAUUCAUUUUCCCAUGUAUUGUUCAUGCUAACUCUAUUUAGAUAUUUUAUUAAAGGAUAUUGGUUAGUAUCUCAUACAUGUGUGAAAGAUGCAUUGUAUGGCUACUAAAUCACUUCA